CUUGUAGGUCCCGGCGGCGGCCGCGAUCCCCUCGACUCCAGCUUCUCCGAUGUCGGCGGAAUUCUGCACCAACAAGGGGGAAUAGAGAAUCUAUCGUUCCCCUCCUAUCUUGAAAUAGGGAACUUCUCCCCCAUGAUAGUGGUGGCCGGAUAAGCAAGCUAGGACGAUGUGAAUGGGGGAUCAUCGACUGGCGGUCGGCGGUGAUGACCGCCAUUGGGAA
rnacentral:lncRNA from 1 species